rnacentral:rRNA from 1 species
AUGUGGACCCGUCUUCGUAAGCACUAUGAGCCCUCUGGUGAUGCCUUAUACCUUUCUGUGGUCCGUUAGGAGCAUGCUCUUCAGCAGGGUGACUCUAUUGUUGAUGACUUCUAUGCACAGAGUUCUGCUCUCUAGCGCCAGCUUGAUUCUCUCCGCAGUGCUUGUCGUACUUGCCCCUGUUCCCAGGCUGUCUAGGACAAUUUGGAGUUUCAUCGCGUCUACGAUUUCCUGUCUCGGCUCCAUAAGGAGUUUGAGCCCCGGCAUGCUCAGUUGUUUGCUCGUGGCCGUAUUUCUCUCAUGGAGGCGCUUUCUGAGAUUCGUGCUGAGGAGACUCGCUUACGUGGUGCUGGUUUGCUGGAGGUUCCCUCCGUGCUCGCUACUCGGCCUCCUUCCACACCACCUGCUGCACCGACCCCUUCUCGCUCGAGUGCUCCGCCGCUCUUGCCCACUCCUUUUGGAGGCUCAGGUCGCCCCCGUCCACAUUGCGACUACUGCAACAAUGAUGGUCAUAUUGAGUCCCAGUGCUACACGAAGAGGAAACACCUGCGCAAGGCGCGAUCAUCAUCUUCAGGGACUUUGUCAUCUACCUCGAUAGCUUCAGCCAUUGCUUUGACUGAGCAGGAUAUUCAGAGACUUAAGCGUCUGCUUGCGGCUUCAGGUUCUUCCUCGACGGGUACUGUUGUUCUGUGGCUGAUGCUUCUCGCACUGAGCAACCACCCUCUACACAGUCAGGUACAUCCCCAUGGGUUCUGGACUUUGGAGCUUCUUUUCAUAUGUCUUCUCAUUCUUCCACUUUGUCCUCUCUUCGAUCACUGGAUUCUCCUGUUCAUGUUCUCACUGAUGAUGGUACUCACUUUCUGUUGUUAG